UGGAAAGGAACUACUUAGUAAAUAUGAACUUUGAAGUUUGUGGGAUUUGAACACAGUCAUAGCUAGACCUCAAAUGAAAUGAUUAUCCGCAGCACCACAGAAUCUGAAACAAUGCAAGGCUAUUUUAAAUGGCGUUUUAGACCUUUUCGGUCCUGAAUUGAUUAGUAAACAAGUACUUUAGUGAUUGUGGGAAUCGAACCCUGAUGUUUGUGAAACAAAAUGUGAACACUUAUCCACUGCGCCAUACAAUACAAAACAACAUUAGCAUGUUUUAAAUGGGGUUUUAGACUUUUUUGGGUCUGCAUUACUUAGUAAACUUGAACUUUGGUAACAGCAAGAUUAGAUCCCAAACAGCUCACCACCAAAUCACUAACAACCAUCCACUGAGCCACUGAACAUGCCAAACUUUAUUUCUCCAAAUUGUCUUACAGACUUUCAGUUUAAAUUGAACGUUUUUACUUUGAACUUAAAUAAUUGAUCAAAACCCACUACAAGCUUCAUUAAUCAUGGGAUUUGAACGCAGACUUUCUUGUACCAUGACGCAGAGAACUAUCCACUCGACCACUGAAUCAGUCAUAUCAGUUAAUGAAAACACAUUAAAUGCUUAAUGUUCAUCCCCAUGAAAAAUAAAAAAACACUACAGGUUCCACUAAAUCUGAGUUGAUUGAAUCUAAAAUUUAGUGUAGCACUGCAUAACUAACUCUAAACACAAUGACAAACAGAUCUGCAGCCAAUUAUAACUUCAAAUCACUAUAUUUAAUGUCUUUCAUUUACAUCCUGAACAGGCAGCUAAUUGUAUAUUCAUCACCUGCAGCCAAUCAACAGUCAGCAUGUGUCAGUGUUCAACUUAAUACGAACUGUGUCAAACUGAAAGUCUAUAUUGAUGCCAUCCAGCUCAGUCAACACAAAUGUUUUUCAUGUUUUAUCUGACACCUUUGAUUCUGCUAACUCUCACAAAUCUCUUUUCAUGCAGUCAUGAUGCUAUCCUGUGUCAUUCUCACCAAAAUGAGACCUUAUGUUUCCCGUAAGCUUACUGAGAUCAAGAGUUCUCUUCCUUGUGGACAAUAAGUGUAUCAUUAAAAUAUGGAAAAGCAGUAGGAUUCAAAAUGAGGAGGUGUGUCAAAUCCUGCUCCGCUUUCCUGAGUUUAACUACAACCUGAUUGAAAACACCUGGGCAAAUGAAGAUCUUCAGGAUUGAACAUCCAUGCAGGAUCUACCAAGCCAGGUCAGAGGUCAUGGAGAGCUCUUGAGCAGAACUGGAUUCCUGAUGGAUUGGAAACAACUGUUUCCUGAGUUAUUUACCGUUUUCUGUGUUAAUUCUGUUUAAAGUCAUUUUCUUUGUGUGCAGGAGAGACUUUCUGUGUAGCAGCAGCUGCCAGUCUGGAUGAAGAUUAUACCAGUAUUCAACCAGUUUCCCAUUAGACGGCUGAGAGUACAAGAAACAGCCUUGAGGAUGAAACAGGUCGUUCCCUGUAGAGCGGCACGGCGGCAUCAGCGAGCUGCUCUUAGCCUGAACACCUUUGACAACAGCGCCACAGAUCAUCACAGGUACACCGUUUUACUGGCGUCAAGUUGAGCUCCAGCAGAUGACAGCUCAGUGACAGACUCAUAAUGUCAGUCAACAGCACAUAUUACAGCCCGACAGUGAUGAAAAGCAACACAAAGUGCAGAAAUGGAGAGUAACGCGACUCACCUGUAAGUGACUUUGUUUCGGUGGGUUUGUUUGUAGUGAUGUUGCUGUAGUGUUUGUGUUCAGGCAUUGCUCUCUCUCCUCCUCUGCAGCAGUGAAGAUACACACGUGUGUCUGUUGUGUUUCUGCUGCACAUCUUUCCUCUUUCUGACGCUCCUCCACACACUCCUCCACAUCCAGGCGGAUUCACAGCUCCAGUAAAGCUCACACACAGGUCAGCAGUCAAACAUCAGUUCCAGCAGGUGUUCAGACAGGAGAUCUGUGGCUCUGUGGUAAGAGCGCUGCCCCACGGCUUCAGGGGUUGCUGGUAUCGGUCCCAGCCAGAACUCUGCGAUAUGUGUGAAUGGAGAGACUUUCUGUGUAGCAGCAGCUGCCAGUCUGGAUGUAGAUUAUACCAGUAUUCAACCAGUUUCCCAUUAGACGGCUGAGAGUACAAGAAACAGCCUUGAGGAUGAAACAGGUCGUUCCCUGUAGAGCGGCACGGCGGCAUCAGCGAGCUGCUCUUUUAGCCUGAACACCUUUGACAACAGCGCCACAGAUCAUCACAGGUACACCGUUUUACUGGCGUCAAGUUGAGCUCCAGCAGUUGACAGCUCAGUGACAGACUCAUAAUGUCAGUCAACAGCACAUAUUA